CCUCUCCACAAAGAGACUUGGAAGCAGUGGAGCUGUAAAAAUUAGUUAAUGAAGCACCAGAGCUGACCCACAGCUCACCUUUACCUUGCCAGCCUCUCCCUAACUUGUAACAUUUUUCGUCUUUUACAGGGCAAGGGAAUGUCCGAGAUGAAGGGCAGUGCCGUGCCAAGAUGUGUCGUAAAGGAGGAUAUGAAAGUGGUGCAGCUGGAAAAACAAGUAAGAUUCCCAUACACCAAGGGGACGGACCUCUUUUUGAACAUACCCGUGUGUCUCAGGAGCCCUGGUAGGUUUCCUGAAAGCGAAACGUCUCUUCAAAUAUGAGUUCCUUCAGUUUCUCCUU